CCAGCUGGUACGACCUCAAGAAGUAAGGGGCUCUGGAUCAUGGAGUUGUCACCCUAAAACAGAGGUGAUAAAUCCUUCCUCUCAGGGAUGAGUUCUCACUGUGUUGCCUGGACUGGUCUCGAAAUCCUGACCUUAAGUAAUGCUUCUGCCUUGGCCUCCCAAAAUGCUGAAAUUACAGGCGUGAGCCAUCAUUCCCAGCCCAGCAGUCUUCAUCUUAAGAAGAAAGCUGCCCAGCAUCAGAGGGGUCAGGUUCCCUUCUAAA
rnacentral:lncRNA from 1 species